CACCCAGAGGUUGCCCCAGUGGUAAGGGCGAAUGACUUAUUUUCCUUGGUUAGGGGUUCGAUUCCCCACCGGGUGA
rnacentral:tRNA from 1 species